UGGCUAAUCUGGUCAGCUUCG
rnacentral:snRNA from 1 species